UACAGAGGGUGCAAGCGUUAAUCGGAAUUACUGGGCGUAAAGGGCGCGUAGGCGGCCAACUAAGUCAGACGUGAAAUCCCUCGGCUCAACCGGGGAACUGCGUCUGAUACUGGAUGGCUUGAAUUCGGGAGAGGGAUGCGGAAUUCCAGGUGUAGCGGUGAAAUGCGUAGAUAUCUGGAGGAACACCGGUGGCGAAGGCGGCAUCCUGGGCCAACACUGACACUGAUGAGCGAAAGCCAGGGGAGCAAACGGG
rnacentral:rRNA from 1 species